rnacentral:lncRNA from 1 species
AUUGUGGGCUCUUUAUGUUUUAACAGCCCACGGAGCAUAACAUGAGCUUAGAGCCUUAAGAGUUCCGAUAUUGGGCUUUUAUAUUUUCUUUUAUUUUAUUUAUUUUUUCAACGGCUGGCUUUUAGAUCUAGAUCUAGAUCUAUUUGCUUUCGCCUGUAUUUGUAUUAAACGGUCCCUUGGUGAGAACAAGAACAUCGUUGAGAUCGAGCCGCCGCCAUCCGUCGUAACUUCAGUGGCGGCGGCGGAUGAUCAAGAAGAUACCGCAUGGGAUCAAGUUUGAUUGUAUUUCCGGCACCUUAAUUGGAUGGGCUAUGUGUCGGAUGCUUGCGUUAUGCACAAUACUUUGAAAAUAAUAAUAGAUGAACUUGUUACGACACAAAUACAGUAACAAUAUGAAUCCAAUAGGAUUGUUCUUCGAAAUUUGUUUUUCUUUGUGCAAAGCAUCAAAGACAGUGAUUUGAAAACUGCAAAAGACAUAACGAAGAGUUUGUAAGGUUUGUCAUCAAUAAAAAUUGUGAAGCAAAAACUUUAUGUUGCAGAGUCCAAAAUGUAAGGCUAUGUUCAUGGCAAGUCUCAUGAACGUGAUUUUCCACGAACAUGGGCUUUCAUUUGGACACUGCAACAUGAAGUGUUGUUUCACACUUUUUGUUGAUACUAAACCUUAUGAUCUCUUUGUUUCGGUCUAAAAUGUCUUUUGCAGUUUUCCAGUCACAUGUCUUUGAUGCUUUGGAGAGUGGAAAACAAAUUUCAAGGGUUAUUUGUUGUUACUCUAUUUUUAUCGUAACAAGUUCACUUUCGUUUUCAAAGUAGUGUCCGAUUUAGAGGUGACAACAUACCAAUGCAAAUGGCCUCUCUAGAUGCAAAGCUCAAGAAUUGGUGCCCAUGACUUGAAAAUAUUGAAUCAGAAUGAUGUUUUAUGUUUAACUUGGGUCCUAUAGGGAUGUUUUAUGUACUUGAAUUUUAUUUUCUGACUUAUUUGGCUUGCAAUGUUCCUACAAGACAUAACAUAUCUUUUUGGACAAUUAUGAAUUCCCUUAAAUUCCUUCUAUAUAAUCAAAUCAAUGGUUGCGCUUAGCUGCUGCCACACUACCCUUUUAGUCAUAACCACCGGUUGUUGAACCCAGUGGCGAAGCUUGAGAUUUCCGACCGGG